AAUGAACGCUGGCGGCGUGCCUAAUACAUGCAAGUCGAGCGAACGGACGAUAAGCUUGCUUCUCUGAUGUUAGCGGCGGACGGGUGAGUAACACGUGGAUAACCUACCUAUAAGACUGGGAUAACUUCGGGAAACCGGUUCUAAUACCGGAUAAUAUUUUGUACCGCAUGGAUCAAAAGUGAAAGACGGUCUUGCUGUCACUUAUAGAUGGAUCCGCGCUGCAUUAGCUAGUUGGUAAGGUAACGGCUUACCAAGGCAACGAUGCAUAGCCGACCUGAGAGGGUGAUCGGCCACACUGGAACUGAGACACGGUCCAGACUCCUACGGGAGGCAGCAGUAGGGAAUCUUCCGCAAUGGGCGAAAGCCUGACGGAGCAAUGCCGCGUGAGUGAUGAAGGUCUUCGGAUCGUAAAGCUCUGUUAUUAGGGAAGAAAAUAUGUGUAAGUAACUGUGGACAUCUUGACGGUACCUAAUCAGAAAGCCACGGCUAACUACGUG
rnacentral:rRNA from 1 species